AGAGUGAACGCUGGCGGCAGGCCUAACACAUGCAAGUCGAACGGCAGCACAGGAGAGCUUGCUCUCUGGGUGGCGAGUGGCGGACAGGUGAGGAAUACGUCGGAAUCUGCCUAUUUGUGGGGGAUAACGUAGGGAAACUUACGCUAAUACCGCAUACGACCUACGGGUGAAAGCGGAGGACCUUCGGGCUUCGCGCAGAUAGAUGAGCCGACGUCGGAUUAGCUAGUUGGCGGGUAAAGGCCCACCAAGGCGACGAUCCGUAGCUGGUCUGAGAGGAUGAUCAGCCACACUGGAACUGAGACACGGUCCAGACUCCUACGGGAGCAGCAGUGGGAAUAUGGACAAUGGGCGCAAGCCUGAUCCAGCCAUGCCGCGUGUGUGAAGAAGGCCUUACGGUGUAAAGCACGUUUGUAACGGAAGAAAAGCGUACUAGGUUAAACUACCUAGGAGUACGAUGAACGGUACGUAAAGAAUAAGACACCGGUACUAACUUCGUCGUACCAGACG
rnacentral:rRNA from 1 species